CUACGGGGCGCAGCAGUGGGGAAUUUUGGACAAUGGGCGCAAGCCUGAUCCAGCCAUUCCGCGUGAGUGAAGAAGGCCUUCGGGUUGUAAAGCUCUUUCGCAAGGGAAGAAAACUUAUCCUCUAACAUAGGGUGAGGUUGACGGUACCUUGAUAAGAAGCACCGGCUAAAUACGUGCCAGCAGCCGCGGUAAUACGUAGGGUGCGAGCGUUAAUCGGAAUUACUGGGCGUAAAGCGUGCGCAGGCUGUUUUGUAAGUCAGAUGUGAAAUCCCCGAGCUCAACUUGGGAACUGCGUUUGAAACUACAAGACUAGAAUAUGUCAGAGGGGGGUAGAAUUCCAUGUGUAGCAGUGAAAUGCGUAGAGAUGUGGAGGAAUACCAAUGGCGAAGGCAGCCCCCUGGGAUAAUAUUGACGCUCAUGCACGAAAGCGUGGGGAGCAAACAGGAUUAGAUACCCUUGUAGUC
rnacentral:rRNA from 1 species